rnacentral:rRNA from 1 species
GACGAACGCUGGCGGCGUGCCUAAUACAUGCAAGUAGAACGCUGAAGAGAGGAGCUUGCUCUUCUUGGAUGAGUUGCGAACGGGUGAGUAACGCGUAGGUAACCUGCCUGGUAGCGGGGGAUAACUAUUGGAAACGAUAGCUAAUACCGCAUAACAACAGUUGUUGCAUGACAGCUGUUUAAAAGAUGCAAUUGCAUCACUACCAGAUGGACCUGCGUUGUAUUAGCUAGUUGGUGAGGUAACGGCUCACCAAGGCGACGAUACAUAGCCGACCUGAGAGGGUGAUCGGCCACACUGGGACUGAGACACGGCCCAGACUCCUACGGGAGGCAGCAGUAGGGAAGCUUCGGCAAUGGGGGGAACCCUGACCGAGCAACGCCGCGUGAGUGAAGAAGGUUUUCGGAUCGUAAAGCUCGGUUGUAAGAGAAGAACGGGUGUGAGAGUGGAAAGUUCACACUGUGACGGUAGCUUACCAGAAAGGGACGGCUAACUACGUG